rnacentral:rRNA from 1 species
GAUGAACGCUGGCGGCGCGCCUAAUACAUGCAAGUCGAGCGAACGGACGAGAAGCUUGCUUCUCUGAUGUUAGCGGCGGACGGGUGAGUAACACGUGGAUAACCUACCUAUAAGACUGGGAUAACUUCGGGAAACCGGAGCUAAUACCGGAUAAUAUUUUGAACCGCAUGGUUCAAAAGUGAAAGACGGUCUUGCUGUCACUUAUAGAUGGAUCCGCGCUGCAUUAGCUAGUUGGUAAGGUAACGGCUUACCAAGGCAACGAUGCAUAGCCGACCUGAGAGGGUGAUCGGCCACACUGGAACUGAGACACGGUCCAGACUCCUACGGGAGGCAGCAGUAGGGAAUCUUCCGCAAAGGGCGAAAGCCUGACGGAGCAACGCCGCGUGAGUGAUGAAGGUCUUCGGAUCGUAAAACUCUGUUAUUAGGGAAGAACAUAUGUGUAAGUAACUGUGCACAUCUUGACGGGACCUAAUCAGAAAGCCACGGCUAACUACGUG